rnacentral:misc_RNA from 1 species
GGUUGUAGCUGGCCUCUUGAGGUAUGUGCACACCUUUAUCGCGCAUCCACAUCUCACACCUGUGCACAACCUGUAGCUUGGGAUGAUUACAAUUCUGGAAACGGUAUUGAAAGCCCUUGCUAUGAAUUUUUAAACAACCGUAUUAAAAGUUAUAGAAUGUUAUGGCGUGUAACAGCGCAAAUAAAUAUACAACUUUCAGCAACGGAUCUCUUGGCUCUCGCAUCGAUGAAGAACGCAGCGAAAUGCGAUAAGUAAUGUGAAUUGCAGAAUUCAGUGAAUCAUCGAAUCUUUGAACGCACCUUGCGCUCCUUGGUAUUCUGAGGAGCAUGCCUGUUUGAGUGUCAUGAAGCUCUCAACUGCUUUAGCUUGUUAUGGUUGAAGUGAAGUUGGAUUUGGAGGAAUGAUUAUUGCUGGCGUGACCUUUUCAGGUUGCUUGUUAGCUCCUCUUAAAUGGAUGAACUUUCCAGUAGUAAAAUAACACCAAUGUGAUAAUUAUCUACGUUGGAUGUGCUUUUUUACAAGGAAAGAUAUAUCUGUCUUGAAGGCAAACACCUCUUGACGAAACAAAAUGACAAAUUUGACCUCAAAUCAGGUAGGACUACCCGCUGAACUUAAGC